rnacentral:lncRNA from 1 species
AAGGCGCUCAGCGAGGAGCCCACGAGGGAGCUGGCGGUGCUCUGGCGCCCCCAACUACCGGUUGGGCUGCAGGGCGCCGGGCUGCUGCCGCCGCUGGCAGCCGCGGUGACAGUGGCAGUAGCCGCAGCCACCGCCGCAACUGUGGUCCGGCGACGGCCAGCCCCACUGGAGCGCUCGCGGUAUAUGCUAUACACGGCCUCGGUCAGACUCGGGGGCUCCCGCGGACAGCGCGGAGAUGAAGCCAAGUCCGGCGGCGACCCUGCCUCCCGAGUCCCACUGCCACCUCCGCCCAGUCCAGCGGGGUGGGGCCAUGAGCCCCUGGCCAGCAUUGCAGCAGCCCCGAAGGCGUCCGCAGAGCCGGCGCAGCUGCCUGGCUUCAGCUCCAGGCCUCGGGAUUGCACGUAGUUAAGAAAGCCAUUGAGCGGCGCUGCCCCGGGGGGAGCGGAACCCGGGGCAGCAGCAGAGGAGGAAGCUGCCGCCGCGGCGGCCGC